CUUUAAUACUUUACCUUCUUGUCCAAACCUCAGGCAAUUCCCCAUGCUCAAUGGCUGCAUUUUCAGCUGGCAGACCAAAUGCAUCCCAGCCCAUUGGAUGGACAACCUUUGGAUUUCAAAUAAAAAGCGAUGAAAGCGGGCUAUGACAUCACUGAUGCUGUACACCCUGACGUGUCCCAUGUGAAGCUUGCCACUGGGGUAGGGAAACAUGGAUAACACAUAGAACUUUUCCUGAGAAGCCUGGAAAAAAAAUCAACAAAAACUUUCACAAGAGCCAUGAAACAUGAUGUAUGAUUACAAAAUUUAAAAUCUCCUCACACAUUGAUAACUACAGAGAAGUAGGUAUGGUUCCUGGUGUAUUUCAGCCUAACAUUAAUGUAAUGAUAGAGAUGUCAAAGAGUGGUUACUUGAUGAAGAUACACAGUACAAAGAGUUGAAAUCCAUGCAUUUUCCUACAAAAUACCCAUUUACCAUUUUAUUAUGAUGUCAUAAAUAUAUUAUUGGAACAAAAUUGACAGAAAACAAGUCUUUUAAUGGUAGUUUUUUGAUAAGAAUAUAUAAAGUACAGGGCCUGCUGAAAGGUGAUUAAAUCUCACAGUGGUUAUUAAAUCCUUAUCAUUUAAUCCAGUGGUUAAAUUCUGCUGUGUAAAAGCAUUUCAACAAAAUGGUUAGUUAACCUUGUGUUAACUGAGUUAAUUGCUUGCUAAUAACACCACACUUUUUACCUUUGAAGAGGAUGAAAAAUUAAGUGGACAACCAUUUUUAACUACUGUGUUAAGACUUAAUACAGGAACUGAAAGUGGAUUAAGGUUAACACAACUUUAACAGAGAGUUAACACAAACUUGUUUUUGAAAAACAGUUAAGCAUGUGGUUAAUUUCACACACAAGAUAAAACCAAGAUAACAUGCUAAAGUUUAAUAUAUCUUGAAAAACUGGGCCCAGGUGUACAGCAAAAAGACAGCAAAACGAUAUUUACAUAGUUUAAACUUGAUAACUUAAUCUAUAACAUAUAUCAUUUUGGUGUUGCUCAAUGUCUCCCUUCAUCCUUUUCUAAAACAAACACGCUGAGAUUUUUAAUUUUCUUGCAAUUUUUAAAAAAGUAAUUAUUUCAAAUCUGGAUGAAUAAUGAUGUCAUUAACAUACAAAUACAUGCAUGAUAGUGUGAUAUUAAUUGAUGAAGUCUUGUACUCUCAUGUAUACCAGUCAAGCCAUUCUGAAUUUUACUCCCUCUCUAGGACCAUAUAUGGCUUAUUCUUUUUAUCCCAAUCUUGGACCAGAUAUGGGCACAAUCAUACGUUAACUGUUCUUUUAUCAACAAUAUACAAUGAUUGUUUUUUUCCACAAUUCUAUGGAGCUUACUAAUCAAUAUAUGAAGAAAAAAAUAUGCAUUACCAACAACGUUUUCAUUGAGGUAAAAACUCAACAUGUAUGUAUAUAUUACAGGUUACCUGGAGUUUGUAUAUUACAGGUUACCUGGAGUUUGUAUACUACAGGUUACCUGAGGUUUGUAUGUUACAGGUUACCUGAGGUUUGUAUAUAUUAUUACAGGUUACCUGAGGUUUGUAUAUUACAGGUUAUCUGAGGUUUGUAUAUUACAGGUUACCUGAGGUUUGUAUAUUACAGGUUACCUGGAGUUUGUAUAUUACAGGUUACCUGAGGUUUGUAUAUUACAGAUUACCUGAGGUUUGUAUAUUACAGGUUACCUGAGGUUUGUAUAUUACAGAUUACCUGAGGUUUGUAUAUUACAGGUUACCUGAGGUUUGUAUAUAACAGGUUACAUGAGGUUUGUAUAUAUUAUUACAGGUUACCUGAGGUUUUUAUAUAUUAUUACAGGUUACAUGAGUUUUGUAUAUUACAGGUUACCUGAUGUUUUUAUAUUACAGAUUACCUGAGGUUUGUAUAUUACAGGUUACCUGAAGUUUGUAUAUUACAGAUUACCUGAGGUUUGUAUAUUACAGGUUACCUGAGGUUUGUAUAUAACAGGUUACAUGAGGUUUGUAUAUAUUAUUACAGGUUACCUGAGGUUUUUAUAUAUUAUUACAGAUUACCUGAGUUUUGUAUAUUACAGGUUACCUGAUGUUUUUAUAUUACAGAUUACCUGAGGUUUGUGUAUUACAGGUUACCUGAAGUUUGUAUAUUACAGAUUACCUGAGGUUUGUAUAUUACAGAUUACCUGAGGUUUGUAUAUUACAGGUUACCGGAGGUUUGUAUAUUACAGGUUACCUGAGAUUUGUAUGUUACAGGUUACAUGAGGUUUGUAUAUUACAGGUUACCUGAGGUUUGUAUAUUACCGGUUACCUGAGGUUUGUAUAUUACAGGUUACCUGAGGUUUGUAUAUAACAGAUUACACGAGGUUUGUAUAUAUUAUUACAGGUUACCUGAGGUUUGUAUAUUACAGGUUACCUGAGGUUUGUGUAUUACAGGUUACCUGAGGUGUGUAUAUUAUAGAUUACCUGAGGUUUGUAUAUUACAGAUUACCUGAGGUUUGUAUAUUACAGGUUACCUGAGGUUUGCAUAUUACAGGUUACCUGAGGUUUGUAUGUUACAGGUUACCUGAGGUUUGUAUGUUACAGGUUACCUGAGGUGUGUAUAUUACAGGUUACCUGAGGUUUGUAUAUUACAGGUUACCUGAGAUUUGUAUGUUACAGGUUACAUGAGGUUUGUAUAUUACAGAUUACACGAGGUUUGUAUAUAUUAUUACAGGUUACCUGAGGUUUGUAUAUUACAGAUUACCUGAGGUUUGUGUAUUACAGAUUACCCAAGGUUUGUAUAUUACAGGUUACCUGAGGUUUGUAUAUUACAGGUUACCUGAGGUUUGUAUAUUACAGGUUACCUGAGGUUUGUAUGUUACAGGUUACCUGAGGUUUGUAUAUUACAGGUUACCUAAGGUUUGUAUAUUACAGGCUACCGGAGGUUUGUGUAUUACAGGUUACCUGAGGUUUGUAUAUAACAGGUUACAUGAGGUUUGUAUAUAUUAUUACAGGUUACCUGAGGUUUGUAUAUUACAGGUUACUUGAGGUUUGUAUGUUACAGGUUACCUGAGGUUUGUAUAUUACAGGUUACCGGAGGUUUGUAUAUUACAGGUUACCUGAGGUUUGUAUAUUACAGGUUACCUGAGGUUUGUAUAUUACAGGUUACUUGAGGUUUGUAUGUUACAGGUUACCUGAGGUUUGUAUAUUACAGGUUACCGGAGGUUUGUAUAUUACAGGUUACCUGAAGUUUGUAUAUUACAGGUUACCUGAGGUUUGUUGAGGCAUCUUUCACUGUUCCUUGUCUGCAGCAGUGGUAUCCAAUGUUUUUCAACUUCAGAUCUCACCUCUGGUGAAAAUUCUUUGGCAUCCUACAAAACACCAGUCAUAUCACAGCAGGGUUUUAUUUUUCAAAAUCAAAACAAUUCAUAAUUUUCUUAUAUCAUUACAAAAAACAUUCAGAUUUGAAGUAUGAAUAAGAACAUAGAUUGAAUGUGUCUUUUGAUUAUCAAUUCAAGACAAAUCCUAUGGAAAAAAAUGUGUGUAAAUGUAUGUACUGGUAGCUGGGUUUUAACUAUUUGUAAAUAUGGUUUGGGGGUGGAUUUUUACAUAAUGUUUAUAAUAUUUGCACAUACAUACAUAUAUGAUGAUCCCAUGUGCAUGUACAUAAGUGUAUUGCUUGUUCAUUGCUACUUUUGAUAUCAUUGGCAUGUGUAUGUAAGCGAUUAUCUAUAUUGCAUACCUUGUGUAGUAACCGUAUUUAUGGUAUUCGGUAAAGCUACAGUCUAAGACAGAUGUAUUGAUGUAAAUUAUAUUGAUAACUUAAAGUGAAAUUAAGUAUUACGAUUGUAAAUCAUGCAACUUACUUCUACUAUCACAUGUUGAAAGUUAGCCACCUACCAUCUUGCUUAUGAAGGAAUGCAUCACAUGAUAUUUUGUCUAUAGAUACACCACCUUGUAGUGAACAUUGAACAAGUAGCAUUGUCCGAUUGUUUAGAUAUUUGAAAUUUGUAUUUCUACUUCAUUUGUUUUAUAUGAUGUAGUUCAUUUGCAACAUAAGUGAUCAGACUACCUUGAUCUUGUGAUGGCGGAAUGCACAAUUUAUGUAUUGUUGUUCUGUAUUCCUACAUAUAGGAUUGUGGUUGUCCGUUUUAUUAUAAAGAAUUAUUUUGACUUAUGUUUCUAUGCAAUUAUAUCAACUUUGAUUAUAAUUCAUAGUAUGGGAAUAAAACACUUUGACAUUAUGUGCUUUUCUAUACCUAAAGUUUUGUACUUAAAGUGCGGAGAUGCUCUAGAAAGGACAAUUAUUCAUUGGUUGUUUCGCAGUCACAUGACCAUUUUUAGAAAGUAUAUAAAGCAGGAAGUUUGCCAGUUUCAUCAUCCUAAUCUGUAUCAAUUACAUUGUUCAUUUCAUUCGAACCCUCCCCCUGAAUUCUCUAGUCAGGUGCUCAACCAACUGAGCUAUCUGGCCAUCGGCGAUCAAACCCGGCUGACCGCUACAUUCCUCCCUCCUUAUAUGUCUUCGCCCUCAAAGACACAACCCAGAUUCUGCCCUUGACAGUACUUUCACCUGCAAGUCCAGGGGUGGUCAACGGCAUCAAAUGAAACAGGAAGGGAAAAAUGCAACGGACCAGACCGGGAUUCAAACCCGGGCCCCCUGAAUCCCUAGUCAGGUGCUCUACAAACUGAGCUAUCUGGCCAUCAGCAAUUGAACCCGGCUGACCGCUACAUUAUCAUACAAACAGCAAUUAACAUUAGCUAUAUACAGUAUAAUUUGUCCAAACCGGCCUCUGAUACAUAGUCCCUAACAUUUCUUUAACAAAUCCUUUAUUAAUAAUUCCGUGUACUCCGGAUACUGCGUAUUCUGUAUAUCGGCCGACUUACAGUCCCAACUGCUAUUAAUUAACUUUAAUUAUCCUGUGUAAACCGACCCCUUGAUGAUACACCACCCUAAUUGUUACGGUCAAUUGUAUUCGGUGUACACGAGGUCCCAACUGCUCGUAAUUAGCUCUAAUUAUCGCAUUUAAACCAGCCACCCCAUGAUGACCAACCUGUCGGUAUUCGGUCGAUCACAUGCGGUGUACACAAAGGGUGUCUCAAGGGGAGCCUCAGGUAAGUAAAAGAGUGCAACUGGCGAUGAGUCGCGAUCAGUUUAAAAUAAAACCUGAUUUUUGGGGGGUGCACUUUUCAAUUAUGACAGCACCACGCACGAGGUAAUGGCGUCCUCCCCUUAACGACAGAGACAAGAACUGACAUUAAAAGACAAAGUUCAAUUAAUCGAUGAAUUGAUACAUUCUUGGAAUGAAACAAAAUCGGCAACAAUCCCGUUAUGUUUUCCAAAAGCAGGGUUCCCCUCGUGGACUUCUCGGAGCUCUCCGGCGAGUCAGACAGUGAUGAUAUGCACUUAGUAAACACAACUCGCCAUGUCCGGUCGAUCACUCGGCAUUACAUCAGUUUCCGUUUCACAAAUUGAGACAGUUGAAAGCGAUACAUUUACAACGAAAGCUGGGAAAGACCAAUUUUAGAUGAACACAACACAAACUUGACGAACGUACAGAAUGUAGCACUUGAUAACGGCGAUGAUGUAGACGAAAUCGACAAUUUACCAACAAAAAAGUGCGCGAAUAAUUCCCAGAUUUUAAACUGUUUAAUAAAAAUUGAUUUUUUUUUCAAAUGAGCACGACAAUAAAACACUGACAUUUAUAUUUUUACAUUUUGAAUUCUUUUGUGAUAUAAUAAAACGUUAGCAAUCAUUACACACGUAUGCAUAGAUAGUGAAUACAAGGGAAGUAACUCUCACUCUUGUCAACAUUCUGCACUCCGGACUCUGUGUAAACCGGCCAAUUUCUUUGGAACCACACAUAGCCGGUUUAGACAGAUUAUACUGUACUACCUAUUUACCAACUUGUACAGAUGUUGGUGCUAGGGGGUCACUUUGUGGGAGGAAACCAGAUUACCUGUACAAAACCCACGUGUCCAAGCGGGCGACCACCAUACCCUCUCACAUACAGCCACUGCCGAUCACAGGGAUCAAACUCGGGUCGCAGUGGUGAGAAGCAGUUGCGUUAGCCUCUACGCUACCCUAACACCCGGUUGAAUUAUGGUUCAAAAUAAAUAAUUCCUCUUUACAUGUACAUAACUUCAUGCUUAUAUAUUAAAAGGGAAGGCAACCCAAAAAAUGUUUACAUGAUGAAUGAUAGGAUUAAUUGUAUGAUAAAUAUAUGUCAUAUUAUUCUGUUGAUAUACGGCCUAGAUAAGCUUCAGU